rnacentral:rRNA from 1 species
GGGAUUCGCUAAGCCUGCGAGUCGAGAGGGUUCGGCCCUCGGCUGACGGCUCAGUAACACGUGGAUAAUCUGCCCUUAGGUGGAGGAUAAUCUCGGGAAACUGAGGAUAAUACUCCAUAGAUCUAGGAUGCUGGAAUGCAUCUAGAUUGAAAGCUCCGGCGCCUAAGGAUGAGUCUGCGGACUAUCAGGUUGUAGUCAGGGUAAAGACCUGACUAGCCUACGACGGAUACGGGUUGUGAGAGCAAUAACCCGGAGACGAUAUCUGAGACACGAUAUCGGGCCCUACGGGGCGCAGCAGGCGCGAAAACUUCACACUGUGCGAAAGCGCGAUGAGGGAAUCCCAAGUGUUUGCUCGUAAGAGUAAACUGUUUCUUUGUUUAAAACGCAGAGAGAGUAAGGGCUGGGUAAGACGGGUGCCAGCCGCCGCGGUAAUACCUGCAGCUCUAGUGGUGAUCAUUAUUAUUGGGCCUAAAACGUCCGUAGCCGGUUUAGUAAAUGCCUGGGUAAAUCCGUGUAGCUUAACUAUACGACUUCCGGGCAGACUGCUAAAACUUGAGACCGGGAGAGGCUAGAGGUACCUCUGGGGUANANGUGAAAUUCUGUAAUCCUANGGGGACCACCAGUGGCCAAGGC